GAUGUACUCCCUCCGUCCGGAAUUAGUUGACGCUCAAACGGAUGUAUCUAGACGUAUUUCAGAGCUAGGUACAUCCGUUUGAAUGUCAACUAAUUCCGGACGGAGGAAGUAGAUG
rfam:Triticum urartu cultivar G1812 contig308611, whole genome shotgun sequence.